UACGUAGGAUGCAAGCGUUGUCCGGAAUUACUGGGCGUAAAGCGCGUGUAGGCUGCUUCAUAAGUCGGGUGUGAAAGCCCUGGGCUCAACCUAGGAAGUGCACUCGAAACUGCGAAGCUUGAGUCCUGGAGAGGAAGGCGGAAUUCUCGGUGUAGAGGUGAAAUUCGUAGAUAUCGAGAGGAACACCGGUGGCGAAGGCGGCCUUCUGGACAGUGACUGACGCUGAGACGCGAAAGCGUGGGGAGCAAACAGG
rnacentral:rRNA from 1 species